CUGCUCCUGAGGUUAGCGGCGGACGGGUGAGUAACACGUGGGCAACCUGCCUGUAAGACUGGGAUAACUCCGGGAAACCGGGGCUAAUACCGGAUAACCCGUUCCACCUCAUGGUGGAGCGGUAAAAGAUGGCCUCUGGCUAUCACUUACAGAUGGGCCCGCGGCGCAUUAGCUAGUUGGUAAGGUAACGGCUUACCAAGGCGACGAUGCGUAGCCGACCUGAGAGGGUGAUCGGCCACACUGGGACUGAGACACGGCCCAGACUCCUACGGGAGGCAGCAGUAGGGAAUCUUCCGCAAUGGACGAAAGUCU
rnacentral:rRNA from 1 species